UGAACGCUGGCGGCGUGCCUAAUACAUGCAAGUCGAGCGAACAGACGAGGAGCUUGCUCCUCUGACGUUAGCGGCGGACGGGUGAGUAACACGUGGAUAACCUACCUAUAAGACUGGGAUAACUUCGGGAAACCGGAGCUAAUACCGGAUAAUAUAUUGAACCGCAUGGUUCAAUAGUGAAAGACGGUUUUGCUGUCACUUAUAGAUGGAUCCGCGCCGCAUUAGCUAGUUGGUAAGGUAACGGCUUACCAAGGCAACGAUGCGUAGCCGACCUGAGAGGGUGAUCGGCCACACUGGGACUGAGACACGGUCCAGACUCCUACGGGAGGCAGCAGUAGGGAAUCUUCCGCAAUGGGCGAAAGCCUGACGGAGCAACGCCGCGUGAGUGAUGAAGGUCUUCGGAUCGUAAAACUCUGUUAUUAGGGAAGAACAAAUGUGUAAGUAACUAUGCACGUCUUGACGGUACCUAAUCAGAAAGCCACGGCUAACUACGUG
rnacentral:rRNA from 1 species